UGGGGAAUAUUGCACAAUGGGCGAAAGCCUGAUGCAGCAACGCCGCGUGAGGGAUGACGGCCUUCGGGUUGUAAACCUCUUUUAGUAGGGAAGAAGCGAAAGUGACGGUACCUGCAGAAAAAGCACCGGCUAACUACGUGCCAGCAGCCGCGGUAAUACGUAGGGUGCAAGCGUUGUCCGGAAUUAUUGGGCGUAAAGAGCUCGUAGGCGGUUUGUCGCGUCUGCUGUGAAAUCCCGAGGCUCAACCUCGGGUCUGCAGUGGGUACGGGCAGACUAGAGUGUGGUAGGGGAGAUUGGAAGUCCUGGUGUAGCGGUGGAAUGCGCAGAUAUCAGGAGGAACACCGAUGGCGAAGGCAGAUCUCUGGGCCAUUACUGACGCUGAGGAGCGAAAGCAUGGGGAGCGAACA
rnacentral:rRNA from 1 species